AAAUUAAACAACAACACAUGUCCAAAUAUAUCCAAAGAGCCCAGCAAAUCAAACAAGAUCCCAGGAGGCUUUUACACCAUACAACAUUAAUAAUCCUACUUGAAAUAAACAGAAUAACAACUAGACCAGGUCAUUUUCCUGUGAUCUCUGAUAGAAAGCUGAAAUUAAGAGUGUUUUUGCACAAUAAAUUCAAUGGAACAGCAAAUUUAGGACUGCUGGAGGUUUUCAGGAGUCAAUUUGAGAGAUUUUGAGCUUCAAAGUUCUGAGAAAUUAUAGAGAUACUUUCAGAUUAUUCAAAUCCCCCCACCCCCACCCCCCUGCCUCCUUGAGUGAUUUAGAGACCCUUUUUUAUAGCCAAAGGGUAGGGCACCACUAUUAUUUAAUUUUAACUAGAGGUCAUUCUUCCAAAUUUCAUAUUUUACCUCUUUGGACCCUCAUUUUUUGACUUGUUUCCCAAGUUACUGCAACAAUACUGCUGAUUUUAUAUUAAAGACCGCUUCUAGAAGGGUUUAAAGGCUUCUAGCAUUGUCUUCCAUUUAUGAACUACCCAUACUACCCUUAUUUUGUUCCUAAAAUUGCCAAAGCCAAGUUAAAACUCUAAAUUAACCCUACUUGAUUCUGAAAAUUACCAAUAGUAAACUAAAAUUCUAUAUUACCCCUAUUUAUCCUAAAAUUAUCAGAAUUAAGAAAAAAACCUUGAAAUUACUGAUUUGGUAUCAAUGCUAACUAAUUCUUCUAGUCUUAACAGCAAUAACCAAUUCAAAUGUUAUUAAUCAAGAACAAAUGUCAAUCAAUUCUCAGAAAUCAAAUCAAAAAUCAAGUUCAAUACUCAAUUAGAAGAAGAAUACGAAGAAGAAUACGGAAGGUUAUCACUCCAAAACUCAACUCAGAAAUCAAAACCUCAAAACAUAUGAGCCAUUGGUCGACACUUAAACUUAAAAAUCAAGAGAUUACUGACAUUAACGAACAAACAUGGGAAUUGUCAUUCUAAAAAAAUCAAACAAUCAAGACCAUUUCCUAAUUGCAUGUGAACUCAAAACAAUAUUCAGAUUCAGAGGUCAAGAAUAUUACGAAAUUGCAGGAAUCAUGGAAACUUUUGAGAGCAACCAAAACCUAGUGUCUAAUUUCACAAAUGAAACCAACAAAUCAUUCACGCAAUCGGAAUAGAAGUAGCAGAAUCGAAAUCUAAUAAGAUGCCAUUUAAAUUUUAAACUAACUGAAAAAGAAAUAAAUUCUAACCUAAUUGCUAAACCAGGCAGAAAAAUAAAAAACAAAAAAAAAGCAAACUGAGAGAGGUGGACUUACUUAUUUCUUCAAUUAAUCUUUGUUGAAAUCAAUUCGAACCUCUAAAUGGCACUCAAACGAUCUUUAAAAUGAACUUAAUCUUGGGUCAUGGCUAAUUUUGAAAUUAGAGGGUCCUGGGGUUAUUUGAGAGGGCUUGGUUGUGUUUUGGGUGGAGGAGGGCUAGAGGGGGUGGGUGGUGGUGGUUUGGGAAUCAUUGGUCACCGGGCACCGCCGUGCAUGGCGGGGCUGCCCACUUCUAACAAAUAUUCGAAGGGCUGGGGUUAUAUUCGAGGGUGGCCGAUGGUAGGGUUGGAAAGAGGAGAGUGAGGGGGUCCCAAGGUGUUAAUUUGGGAGUUAUUGGUCAUCGGCCGCCACCGUGGAUGGCGUAGCUGCCGUGCUUUGAACAAAUAUUCGACGGGCUGGGAAGGGUUUCGAAAGGUGAUCUUAGGGGGGUUGGGAAAAGGAGACAAUGGGGAUUAUAGGGUGUGAAUUUGGAGGUUAUUAGAGUUACGCUGUCGCCGACGGUGAUUUUCGGCUGGCGGCGGACGGUGGUGGUAUGGUGGUUUGACGGCGGCGUUACAUCGGUUGAAGAUGGUACGAGGAAAAUGGAUUUUGGUCUUUGAGGUGUUACUUUGGUUUGGAUAGUUUUAUCUAAAGUAUGAGGCUCAAUUUGAGCCGUUGGAUAGAGGAUAUGGAUGGCCAGGAUGAACGGAUGCUAAAACGGCGUCGUUUUGAUGAGGGGUGGGAUUGGACCGGGUCUGGGACGUGGGUUUGGGUAAGGUCUUGGGGUUUUGGGCUAGUUUAAUUUGCAAAAAUGGCCCCAGUUUUGCCUUUUUAAAACAAGACCACAUUUCCAACUCCUUUUUCUUUGUUUUAUUUCAUACAUUAAAUUAUUUUAUUAACACCAAAUUAACAAAAACCUGAUUUAAAUCCAAAAUGGGCUAAUUAACCAAAAUCCUAUAUUUUUUUGUACUUUUUGUGAAUUAAAAUGCACUCAACAUGCGAACAAACACACAAUUUAUGCAAUUAAAUUUACUUGGAAUUUGUGCACCAAAGUAGAGUUGAGAGUCAGCAGUACUCAAUAACAGUGUAUUCAACAGGAAUGCACAACUUAGAAGUAGUUAAUAACCCCAGAAGCACCACUCAACAACAGGGAAGGCCUUAAACCCCAAAAAUUAAACAGCAACACAUGUCCAAAUAUAUCCAAAGAGCCCAGCAAAUCAAACAAGAUCCCAGGAGGCUUUUACACCAUACAACAUUAAUAAUCCUACUUGAAAUAAACAGAAUAACAACUAGACCAGGUCAUUUUCCUGUGAUCUCUGAUAGAAAGCUGAAUUUAAGAGUGUUUUUGCACAAUAAUUUCAAUGGAACAGUAAAUUUAGGACUGCUGGAGGUUUUCAGGAGUCAUUUUGAGAGAUUUUGAGCUUCAAAAUUCUAAGAAAUUAUAGAGAUACUUUCAGAUUGUUCAAACCCCC
rnacentral:lncRNA from 1 species